ACCCACCUUUGACAUGGCAGGAAUCCUGAAGAGAUUUGGGAGUGCUCGAAAGAGAACCUGCACACAGGUGCUGCAUGGCUGUCGUCAGCUCGUGUCGUGAGAUGUUGGGUUAAGUCCCGCAACGAGCGCAACCCUUUGCCAUUUAGUUGCUACGAAAGGGCACUCUAAUGGGACUGCCGGUGACAAACCGGAGGAAGGUGGGGAUGACGUCAAGUCCUCAUGGCCCUUAUAGUGGGGCUACACACGUCAUACAAUGGCCGGUACAGAGGGUAGCCAACCCGCGAGGGGGAGCCAAUCCCACAAAGCCGGUCGUAGUCCGGAUCGCAGUCUGCAACUCGACUGCGUGAAGUCGGAAUCGCUAGUAAUCGCGGAUCAGCAUGUCGCGGUGAAUACGUUCCCGGGUCUU
rnacentral:rRNA from 1 species